UUUCAACCCACAAUCCCCCUCACCAACACCACUCCCCAUUUCUGCACCCCAACUCAUUUCUGNNNNNNNNNNNNNNNNNNNNNNNNNUUUGGGGUGAAAAAGGGGGAUUUUGGGGUCAGAAAUGGGGAUUUUGGGGUGAAAAAGGGGGAUUUUGGGGUCAAUAAUGGGGAGAUUUGGGGUGAAAAAGGGGGAUUUUGGGGUCAGAAAAGGGGGAUUUGGGGUCAGAAAUGGGGAUUUUUGAGGGGGAUUUUGGGUUGAAAAAGGGGGAUUUUGGGGUCAAUGGGGUUUUGGGGUGAAAAUGGGGGAUUUUGGGGUCAGAAAAGGGGUUUUGGGGUCAGAAAUGGGGAUUUUUGAGGGGGAUUUUGGGUUGAAAAAGGGCGAUUUUGGGGUCAAGAAUGGGGAGAUUUGGGGUGAAAAAGGGGAUUUUAUGGGGGGGAUAUUGGGGUGAAAAAGGGGGAUUUGGGGGUCAAUGGGAUUUUGGGGUCAAAAAGGGCCAUUUUGGGGUCAAAAAAAGGGUUUUGGGGUCAGAAAUGGGGAUUUUGGCGGUGUAAAAGGGGAUUGGGGGGUCAAGAAUGGGGAGUUUUGGGGUGAAAUAAUGGGGGGGGGGGGGAUUUUUUUUUUUGGGGGUUCCCCCCCCAAGAAAAAAAAUGGGGGGGGAGGGGAUUUUGGGUUGAAAAACGGGAUUUGGGGUCAGAUGGAGAUGUUUGGGGUGAAACGGGGAUUUGGGGUCAAGAGAUGGGAGAUUUGGGUUGAAAAAGGGGAUUUUGGGGUCAAUGGGAUUUUGCGUAAAAAGGGCGAUUUGGGGUCAAGAAUGGGGAAGAUUUGGGUCAGAAAUGGGGAUUUUUUGAGGGGAUUUGCGGUUGAAUAGGGGGGAAUUUUUGGGGUCAAUGGGAAUUUGGGGGUGAAAAGGGGGAUUUUGGGGUCAGAAAAGGGGGGAUUUGGGGUCAGAAAUGGGGAUUUUUGAAAGGGGAUUUUGGGUUGAAAAAAGGGCGAUUUUGGGCAAUGGGAUUUUGGGGUGAAAAAAGGGCGAUUUUUGGGUCAAGAAUGGGGGAGGUUUGGGGUGAAAAAGGGCGAUUUUGGGGGUCAGAAAUAAGGGAUUGUUGAGGGUCAGAAAUGGGGAUUUUGGGUUUGAAAAAAGGCCAUUUUGGAUCAAUGGGAUUUUUUUGGGUGAAAGGGGGGAUUUUGGUCAGAAAUGGGGAUUUUUGAAGGGGGAUUUUGGGUUGAAAAAGGGGGAUUUGGGGUCAAAUGGGGUUUGGGGUGAAAAAGGGCCAUUUUGGGUCAAGAAUGGGAGAUUUUGGGGGAAAAGGGGAUUUUGGGGUCAGAAAAGGGGAUUUGGGUGAAAAAGGGGGAUUUUGGGGUCAAUGGAUUAUGGGGUCAAAAAGGCCAAUUUUGGGUAAUGGGGUUUUGGUUUAAAGAGGAGAUUUUGGGGUCAAAAAGGGAAUUUGGGGUCAAAAAUGGGUGAUUUUUGGGUUGAAAAAGGGGAUUUUGGGGUCACUGGGGUUUAGGGUGAAAAAGGGGAUUUUGGUGGGGGUUUUGGGUCAAAAAGGGGGAUUUUGGGUCCAAUGGGGUUUUGGUGAAAAAGGGAUUUGGGGUCAAUGGGAUUUUGGGGGUCAAUGGGAUUUUGGGUCAAAAAGGGGUUUUGGGGUCAGAAAUGGGAUUUUUGAGGGGGAUUUUUGGGUUGAAAAGGGGAUGUGGGGUCAUGGGAAUUUUGGGGUGAAAAGGGGGAUUUUGGGGUAAGAAUGGGGAGAUUUGGGUGAAAAGGGGGAAUUUUGGGGUCAAGAAAAAGGAUUUUGGGUGAAAAAGGGGGAUUUUGGGGUCACGAAAAAAGGGAAUUUUGGGGUCAGAAAAAUGGGGAUGUUGGGGUUGAU
ensembl:lncRNA